GGGGGAAUAUUGCACAAUGGGGGAAACCCUGAUGCAGCGACGCCGCGUGAGGGAAGAAGGUUUUCGGAUUGUAAACCUCUGUCCUUGGUGACGAAAUAAGACGGUAGCCAAGGAGGAAGCCACGGCUAACUACGUGCCAGCAGCCGCGGUAAUACGUAGGUGGCAAGCGUUGUCCGGAAUUACUGGGUGUAAAGGGAGCGUAGGCGGGAAGAUAAGUUGGACGUUUAAUCUAUCGGCUCAACCGAUAUCAGCGUUCAAAACUGUUUUCUUGAGUGAAGUAGAGGUAAGCGGAAUUCCUAGUGUAGCGGUGAAAUGCGUAAAUAUUAGGAGGAACACCAGUGGCGAAGGCGGCUUACUGGGCUUUAACUGACGCUGAGGCUCGAAAGCGUGGGUAGCAAACAGGAUUAGAUACCCUGGUAGU
rnacentral:rRNA from 1 species